rnacentral:rRNA from 1 species
UACGUAGGGGGCAAGCGUUGUCCGGAUUUAUUGGGCGUAAAGAGCGUGUAGGCGGCUGGGUAGGUCCGUUGUGAAAACUCGAGGCUCAACCUCGAGACGCCGAUGGAAACCCUCCAGCUAGAGUCCGGAAGAGGAGAGUGGAAUUCCUGGUGUAGCGGUGAAAUGCGCAGAUAUCAGGAGGAACACCGGUGGCGAAGGCGCCACUCUGGGCCGGUACUGACGCUGAGGAGCGAAAGCGUGGGUAGCAAACAGG